rnacentral:rRNA from 1 species
UUAAGCGACUAAGCGUACACGGUGGAUGCCCUGGCAGUCAGAGGCGAUGAAGGACGUGCUAAUCUGCGAAAAGCGCCGGCGAGGUGAUAUGAACCUUUGACCCGGCGAUGUCCGAAUGGGGAAACCCAGUGCAAUCCGUUGCACUAUCGUUAACUGAAUACAUAGGUUAACGAGGCGAACCGGGGGAACUGAAACAUCUAAGUACCCCGAGGAAAAGAAAUCAACCGAGAUUCCCCCAGUAGCGGCGAGCGAACGGGGAGCAGCCCGGAGUCUGAAUCAGCUUGUGUGUUAGUGGAACGGUCUGGAAAGUCCGACGGUACAGGGUGAUAGUCCCGUACACGAAAGCACACAUGCUGUGAACUCGAAGAGUAGGGCGGGACACGUGGUAUCCUGUCUGAAUAUGGGGGGACCAUCCUCCAAGGCUAAAUACUCCUGACUGACCGAUAGUGAACCAGUACCGUGAGGGAAAGGCGAAAAGAACCCCGGCGAGGGGAGUGAAAAAGAACCUGAAACCGUGUACGUACAAGCAGUGGGAGCCUCUUUAUGGGGUGACUGCGUACCUUUUGUAUAAUGGGUCAGCGACUUAUAUUCUGUAGCAAGGUUAACCGUAUAGGGGAGCCGAAGGGAAACCGAGUCUUAACUGGGCGUUAAGUUGCAGGGUAUAGACCCGAAACCCGGUGAUCUAGCCAUGGGCAGGUUGAAGGUUGGGUAACACUAACUGGAGGACCGAACCGACUAAUGUUGAAAAAUUAGCGGAUGACCUGUGGCUGGGGGUGAAAGGCCAAUCAAACCGGGAGAUAGCUGGUUCUCCCCGAAAGCUAUUUAGGUAGCGCCUCGUGAAUUCAUCUUCGGGGGUAGAGCACUGUUUCGGCUAGGGGGCCAUCCCGGCUUACCAACCCGAUGCAAACUACGAAUACCGAAGAAUGUUAUCACGGGAGACACACGGCGGGUGCUAACGUCCGUCGUGAAGAGGGAAACAACCCAGACCGCCAGCUAAGGUCCCAAAGUCAUGGUUAAGUGGGAAACGAUGUGGGAAGGCACAGACAGCCAGGAUGUUGGCUUAGAAGCAGCCAUCAUUUAAAGAAAGCGUAAUAGCUCACUGGUCGAGUCGGCCUGCGCGGAAGAUGUAACGGGGCUAAACCAUGCACCGAAGCUGCGGCAGCGACGCUUAUGCGUUGUUGGGUAGGGGAGCGUUCUGUAAGCCGUUGAAGGUGUGCUGUGAGGCAUGCUGGAGGUAUCAGAAGUGCGAAUGCUGACAUAAGUAACGAUAAAGCGGGUGAAAAGCCCGCUCGCCGGAAGACCAAGGGUUCCUGUCCAACGUUAAUCGGGGCAGGGUGAGUCGACCCCUAAGGCGAGGCCGAAAGGCGUAGUCGAUGGGAAACAGGUUAAUAUUCCUGUACUUGGUGUUACUGCGAAGGGGGGACGGAGAAGGCUAUGUCAGCCGGGCGACGGUUGUCCCGGUUUAAGCAUGUAGGCGGAGGUUCCAGGUAAAUCCGGUACCUUUUAACGCUGAGGUGUGAUGACGAGGCACUACGGUGCUGAAGUGAUAAAUGCCCUGCUUCCAGGAAAAGCCUCUAAGCAUCAGGUAACACGAAAUCGUACCCCAAACCGACACAGGUGGUCAGGUAGAGAAUACCAAGGCGCUUGAGAGAACUCGGGUGAAGGAACUAGGCAAAAUGGUGCCGUAACUUCGGGAGAAGGCACGCUGAUAUGUAGGUGAAGCCCCUGCGGGUGGAGCUGAAAUCAGUCGAAGAUACCAGCUGGCUGCAACUGUUUAUUAAAAACACAGCACUGUGCAAACACGAAAGUGGACGUAUACGGUGUGACGCCUGCCCGGUGCCGGAAGGUUAAUUGAUGGGGUUAGCGGCAACGCGAAGCUCUUGAUCGAAGCCCCGGUAAACGGCGGCCGUAACUAUAACGGUCCUAAGGUAGCGAAAUUCCUUGUCGGGUAAGUUCCGACCUGCACGAAUGGCGUAAUGAUGGCCAGGCUGUCUCCACCCGAGACUCAGUGAAAUUGAACUCGCUGUGAAGAUGCAGUGUACCCGCGGCAAGACGGAAAGACCCCGUGAACCUUUACUAUAGCUUGACACUGAACACUGGUCCUUGAUGUGUAGGAUAGGUGGGAGGCUUUGAAGCGUGGACGCCAGUCUGCGUGGAGCCAACCUUGAAAUACCACCCUUUAAUGGCUGGUGUUCUAACGUAGACCCGUAAUCCGGGUUGCGGACAGUGUCUGGUGGGUAGUUUGACUGGGGCGGUCUCCUCCCAAAGAGUAACGGAGGAGCACGAAGGUUGGCUAAUCCUGGUCGGACAUCAGGAGGUUAGUGCAAUGGCAUAAGCCAGCUUGACUGCGAGCGUGACGGCGCGAGCAGGUGCGAAAGCAGGUCAUAGUGAUCCGGUGGUUCUGAAUGGAAGGGCCAUCGCUCAACGGAUAAAAGGUACUCCGGGGAUAACAGGCUGAUACCGCCCAAGAGUUCAUAUCGACGGCGGUGUUUGGCACCUCGAUGUCGGCUCAUCACAUCCUGGGGCUGAAGUAGGUCCCAAGGGUAUGGCUGUUCGCCAUUUAAAGUGGUACGCGAGCUGGGUUUAGAACGUCGUGAGACAGUUCGGUCCCUAUCUGCCGUGGGCGCUGGAGAAUUGAGGGGGGCUGCUCCUAGUACGAGAGGACCGGAGUGGACGCAUCACUGGUGUUCGGGUUGUCAUGCCAAUGGCACUGCCCGGUAGCUAAAUGCGGAAGAGAUAAGUGCUGAAAGCAUCUAAGCACGAAACUUGCCCCGAGAUGAGUUCUCCCUGAGACCUUGAGUCUCCUGAAGGAACGUUAAAGACUAUGACGUUGAUAGGUCGGGUGUGUAAGCGCAGCGAUGCGUUGAGCUAACCGAUACUAAUGAACCGUGAGGCUUAACCUU